UUGUCAUUAUUCUAUACCCUCUCACCGCCUGGUUGUUCGUCGAAUCGCAGAAGGCCGUUGGUGCAAAUAUGGAUUGGAGGGAAACUUCUUAAAAUUAUUCUGACUGUUCUCUUAAUACAUCUUCUCUGGGAUGUCUCCGCAUGAUGUCCCAUUGUCUAUGAUUAACCAUUUCAUUGAUUGGACUAAAAUUCUCCAUAUAGCUUACAACAGAGCAGUGAUUUCCAAGUGGGGGUACUUGUACCUCAGGGGGUAUAGCUCAGGAGCUGCCAGGGGGAACAAGCUCAACUCAACGAAAUGUGUCAUAAAAUUAUAUUCACGUGCGAUCUGGAGGAAGAUACGCAACCACAUAGGAUUAAAUUGGUGCUGGUGAAUUCACAAUAAGCAGCCGAUGAAUGUUGUCACCACAUGUAGCAACCAAAGCUGUUUUCAAGACGUGAACUCUGGACCAUAUCCGGAAAAUUGGGUCAAGACAUUUUCCGGAGGUUGCUGUUCACAUAUGAAGAACGCAAUAGUCCGUGUCGGUUGCGUUCACAACAGCAGGAAGAAUUCUGAAACAUUCAGGCGAGCGGGCGGCGCCUUAAGAGUGAAAGAUGGAUGGAAACUACUUAGCAAGUUCGCCAUUAGCUAAAAAUAAUUGGACAUACGGUUGAAGAAUAAAUAGAAUAAGUGGACGUAAUGAUUGAGCUCCAACCUACAGGGAACACUCAAACUGAGCAAACUGAGAGCCGCAUUGUAGAAAAACCCCAUAUAGUUUGCCUGAAGCAAAGGGGCGGAGCUUGACCACGAGGCCAGGUAGCUUCAGCUCCUCAAAUAUUGACUUCCUUCCUCGCUGCCUGCCUGGUCAGGAGGUGUGUUUGUGUGCUUUGGAGUCCGAAAAGGUGUGUGGUGAGAGAGGUAGGAAGGGGAGGGCGGGGGUGCAUGUACAUGUGGUUGUGUGAGUCUGUGUGUCCACAUCCAUCAAAAUAAAGGGUUUGAUGACUUUGGCCUGCCCUCAUUGCACCAUAAUAGGAUACAUUAGACCCUAAUUCACUUAGAGCCAUUAGAGAGCAAGAAAAUUCCUGUACUGGAAUAACAACACGGGGGCCAAAUGAUCUGCACUGGUCCUGCUGCCGAAGGAUCCAACUAUUAUAUUACUCCCAGUCAAAUAUUUUUCAGUACACUUAGGGAAAUCAAAUUUCACCGUAAAAUUCCUGUUACUUAAAGGCAACAGUUUCUUUUCAUUAGUUUUGGUUUAAAAUCCUUUUUCUUUUUUCCCAUUUGUCAAUGAUAAUUCAUCAUAUUUUAACAUGUGCAUACGCCAGAAAUAAAUUUAAACACAUUAGUGUAAUCGCAGGAAUAUAGAAAUAUGUCUAGGCUGUAAGAAAUCGUUUUGUCCAUCUAGUUAGCUGUAACAUGACUUUAUUCCGCAUCAGUCUAUAAUCUAAAAGGACAUUUCAUGACCAAUAAAUUUACAUGGGUUCUGCAGCAGUAGGAAAUGGGACCGUGGCUCAAGAUAGUCACACCCAUUGUGAGAAAGGCCCUGGUCCCUUAGUAGCGUCCGUCCAGGGCAGCAAGGAGGGUUUUUUUCUCGUUUUUUUCUGGGCAGCCCUCCCAGGAAAUGUGGCCUCACCUGGUUUGGGUUGGUCAAACUUAAGACAACAUCAAGUAGCAUAUGCCAUUUAGCAGAAGCUUUUUUCCAUGGUUUUGGGCAAGAGCAUUACAUUGAGUCCUCAAAUUAGUGACCUCAAAAUAACUGCAAAUAGUCCAGAGAGAACCAUUAAUAAGAUUUCGUCUCAGCGAAUGCCUGCUGAAAAGAUUUUUCCUCACGAGCGGGAAGAAAACAUCUAUACUUUAUUUGACGAAAUAAGUGCUUAUCAAUUGAUCUACGCUUCUUUCGUGUGAAAACGGCCUGGUCACUGGAUGACCUGGGCGAGACCCUGAAUCCAUGUCAGCGGCAGGGGUGCUGCUCUGUCACUGACCCUGACCUCUGAACUUCCUGAGUGUGUGGAAAAGCAAUGAAGGAAUUUCUCUGUAGGGAUCAAUAAAACCAGCUCUAGGAUACAUAGUGUGAUACAUUUUUAAUAUGGGUGAUGGCAGGGACUGAUAGAGACUGUUGACCAUUUUUUUGCUAUAGAUUUACAUCAUCCCAAUUAUGCCCUGAUGAACUCAGGGAAACCUUCUGUACCAAGGUCAGGAGGGUAACCCACUAAGCUAUACCAGCAGCCCACAUGUACAUACGUGCACAGAAAGACAUCCAUAACAUUUUUUGAACACACACACACACACACACACACACACACACACACACACACACACACACACACACGCACGCACCCCUAACUUGACUUUCCAUCACUAUUUCCAUAGUCAACCGGCUGGCUGAUAUUAUGUCUAAUUUCAGGCAUGUAAUUAGUGUGUAGCCUGGUCUGGUUCUGUCUGGGUCAUAGUCGAGACUGUGUGUGUGUGUGUGUGUGUGUGUGUGUGUGUGUGUGUGUGUGUGUGUGUGUGUGUGUGUGUGUGUGUGUGUGUGUGUGUGUGUGUGUGUGUGUGUGUGUGUGUGUGUGUGUGUGUGUGUCCACACAGAGUGGGUCUAUACUUGGAAGGAUACGCAAGCACUUAUAUGUGCAAAUGCAUAAAUAGCAGAGAACAACCAAUAUGGAGCAUGGGCAGCCGCAAAACAUACACAUGACUCAUAUUAAGACUCGUGAAUGUGCCAAACUAAGCAGGCAGACACUGAUCAUGUUUUCACUCUUUCAAAUUUAGAUGAAAUGCGAAUCUUCCAUCUCCCCAGCGAAUAGUAAUUGGGAACAUCAAAGACAAAGUAGUGUGUGUGGGCUGGAUGUUACAUGUAUGAACUAAUUCUGACACCCUUGUCAAAUACAGAGGGAGGAAAAGAUUAAUGCCCCGGAGCGAAGUUUUCCAUUUUCUGUUGCAUCAGUUGUGCAGAACCGGUUUUGCAGUCCAGGUGAGGUCAACUUCUGGAAGCUGAAAUUGAUUCACAGUCUUCAGUCUGUGGACUUUCGCACUCGGCUUGAACUUACUGUAUCUUACAAAACGUUGUUUUUAAAUGCAACGCUCCACAAACAUGAAUUAUUUGUAGUUUAUUGUUAAACCUCUCAUUCCAAGUCCUAACCGCUCUGGCACUUUGCAGCACAAAUUUGCUUGUAUGUGUGUGUGUGUGUGUGUAACCCUGGGGUGCCUGGAUGAUAUGUGCGGCAGCGACACUUGGAAUGCCCAGAAUGCGCGAGGUGGUGGGGAGAAGCGAGGGACUUGGUAGCCACGCCCCUGACGGCAGGUCACACUUCAGCAAUUGGUUAGUCCCUUGAGGUCGGAGUGCAAUCGGGAUCCUGUCACUCCUCUGAAGAAAAGUCGAAGGUCGACUUCCACCGGAGCUCUCCUUUCCUGCCCUCGCCCAGCGGGGUUCUUCCCAGCUUCCAAGGGCCGUGAAGUAAAGGAAUUUCUUUUUUUCCCCAUAAAAAGAAGAAAAAAAAACCUUACAGCUAAAAUCCUUUUAUUUUCGGCCACAUGUAUUUAGUGUUUACAGAAUCUAUCAGGUAUACAUAUUUUGCAAUUGUUUGCAUUUAAAACUUCAAACAAUUUUUUAUUUAUUUUAUCAUUUACACCCUCUUUUUUCCAGGGCCAAUAAUUUCGAUUUGGACUUUCAUGAUCAACUUAUUCUGUAUCUCUACAUCUGGCCCAAAUAGAGAGAAGCAGUGUUACAGGCGGCAAGUUAUCGGCUUCAGCAGUAUCCAACUUCACCUCACAGACACUGAUGACAAGCUUGAAUUAAGCAUCCAGAGGAAGGACGCCAGGACAAGAGGAGAGGAAAGGAGGAGAGGUGAGGAGGAAAGACAAGAGGGUCAGAUGAGUGGAAUAAAGGGAUGUAAAUGAGAGGACCGGACAAGCGAGAAGAGGGUAGAUGGGCGGGAGAGGAGAAGAAAGCAAAGGAGGAAGGAGGUGAGAAGGGUAUAAAAUGAUUACAGAGGAGUGUAGGACAAGAAGAGAGAGGAAGGAAACAUGGCUAGUAGAAGGUCGGGAGGAGAGGAGACGGGAUGGACGUGAAGCAGUAACUUCCUGUGAGCCACGAGUCUGGAGAGGAAACACGUCAAGGAUAAAGGGGGUGGCUUGCAAAGGGAAAUCAGUUUCAUCUCUGGAGCCUAAACUUGCCAUUUGUUUUUCCUAAUUUGGUCAGUGGUGAACUGGGCAAAAAUAUUCAUUAUCCACGUUGGACUCACCAGUGGUCGUCAAUGCUCGUGACAGGAGCAUGAAGAAACGGGGAAUGAUCUGUCGUUGGUGAAAUCACCCAAAUGUGAACGUCUGCAUGAUUGUUCCCAAAGGUCCAUGCAAACUAAGGCUACAUCCACACUACUAGGUUUACACCUGCUGUCCACACCCUACUACCAAAGUUUUCAGGCGCCUGAAUCAGAAAUUUUGGAAAUGCUGCUGGCCCCCGUUUCAGUUUGAAAACUCUGGGGGAACGUCGUAGUAUGAAUGGGCAAAAACAGACGUUAAGAAACGAUGACGCAGUUCCACCCGUAUCCUUGAUUGGUUCUUAUCGAUGACGACUCAUUGACGACACAUAGACUUUUGCAAACACUAACUGUAAGUGACAGUACCACCUCGUCGGUCCUCCUCUAAAAUGUCACCAUUGUUGUUUCUAGCUGGUACAUCAUCUGUAACUAAGCAACUGACUGCAGAGAAAACAAUCUGCUUCCUGUUAAGCACACGCCCAGUGUUUUCAGGUGUGUUUGUAUGGACGGAGUUUAAUUGUGAUCCGGAGCUAAAGCGGUCAUCCUUUUGUUUCAAAACGUAGUAGUAUGCGUGUAACUUAGCGUGUCUACAAUAGUGUUUUCAAAAGUCUCAGUCUCAGGUGCUUGAAAACUCCAGAGCAGCGUGGACGGCAGGCGUGAAAACCUAGCAAACGUGAUGCAUCUUAGAACUGAAAUGUGGCCGUGUGGAUGCAGGCUUAGCAUGGAGUCUGAUGCACUGGUGCACAGAUCGAACGAAUGCUGUUCUAAUUAUUGAGCUUCAGAGGUGCCGGUCGGUCGGCACACACUUUUGAACUUUGAUCAGAGCCAGGUAAACUGUUUCCCCCUGUUAGUGUUUAUGCUAAGCUAAUCUAAUCAUCUCCUGGCUUCACGCUUGCCACAUGCCAUUGAUCUUCUCAUCUAACCCUCAGCAAGAACGCAAAUAUGUUUAUUGACCGAAACAUCAAACUAUGCUUGUUGUUUGUACGGAGGUCUUUCAAUAAUUCCAGGUAUACCCAGGAAAGAGACUUUAUCAAUGACAGGUCCCAGCUGAGGAAAUGAGGCUCAGGUGUCAGAUUUUAUUUAUCUUUGUAAAUAUUUGUAUUUGUAUCUUUGCCUUGUGUGAAACAACCUUUUAACUUGUCUUUUUGUUAAGGGCAGCACGAGCUAAAGUUGAAUUUUUCUACAUUAUCAUUGAAAUUAAAAACAUUCCUUUUUUAUCAUGAAAAUUGUGAAAUGAAAUAAAUCCAAAACAUGAA